UGUUUGCUCCUGGAGAUACUAUUUCCUACUUUAAGUAUGAGUAUGUGUUUUAAAUAUUUUUUUUUCAGAAGAUAUUUGGUCUAUCACUUCCAUUUGUUUAAAGUAGGAUUAAGAUUUCUUUUUCCAUCUGUCAUCUGGACUAGAGGUCACCCAUCUGUGUGUGUGUGUAUGUGUGUGUGUGUGUUGUGUGUGGCCUACAUAACGAGUUCCUACUUUUGCUCUCAUUUUUUUCAGAAUUCUCUUGAUCAAGAAUAUAUAACUCUGUUAAUCCUGAGGAACAGAUAGAGGUUACCAGGUGGUUAGCUUGAUCUUUGAUGACCUUCCUCUGCAGCCCCACAAUCACCCCCAGACAAAGGUCCUCCUGUGGAGCUAAGAAGGAACCCCGCCCUGGAGGAUGCUUCUGCACAGCAUCUCCAGUAACUCUAAGAAGACUGCCAGGGUCAGCCCUGGAAGGAGUCUGAGGGCCCUUGAGGACCACGAGGCUCAAGAGUGAUUGUCAUAGAGGUUUAACAAAGUGCAAGUGUUCCCCCUCUGUCCCUGUUCUCUUCUUCCCUUGUCUUGACGGUGUCUGGUAAACUUCGCCCCUUCCCUCUCUCUCUGCUAAUAUCGGAGCCUUUGGGAUUCAAAAUGAAGAGAAUGGGUUUGAGCGACAGCAGGUAGAAGGAAGAGAGAAAAGAGGAGGCUUUCAAGAAGGAAAGGAGCAUCCAGAGAUCCAGAGGAUCCAUUUCAAGUAGCAUCAUCUAAAGCAUUAUGAAUAGUCAGAGCCCGAGACCAUGGGGAAGAUUUGUCACGGGUGUGAAUCAGACUCCUUCACAGUUCUUCCAAAAAACAAUUAAUAACAAGAAUUGUUUUAUAACAACUUGGUUUCUUGACUUUUUUCUUUUUAUGUGCUUAAGAUUUAAUUUAGCAAUAUAAACCUGGCUAGCAAAUAGAUGCACCAGAGAAAUGGCCCAGCUACUAUCGCAACUACACUGUCCAUGUAAACGAUGUGCACUUAAAACAUGCCACAUACGUGUGACUCAAUAUAUUGUUGAUUUUAAAAUUCAUCUAAUAAAUUAGCUUCUGUAGUGUGAUCCCAUUUAUUAGCUACAUUCUGAAAGAUUAACAGUGGGAGGCAUUAAAGAACAUGUAUUUUAAAUGUAAUUACAUUAUACAAGCAGGUACAGAUGGCUGGCUAUGCCACUCUUCUUAGAGUUGUACUUGGACCCAAUUGCUCAAUUGGGGACUAAUUUGCCAGUCUGCCAAUCAGGACAUAUAGCUAAUUCUUACCAGCGGAAUGUGAAGAGAACUGAUGUGUCACUUCUGGGGUAGGACUUUUAAGAAAUGGGAUUUGCUUUUUUAAAAUUUUUCUUUUUGUGCUCCCCUUUUCCUUCUGUUAGCUGGUAUAGAGAACCCUAAGGAAACAGAGGUUAUGGGACUACAACUUGGAAGGGGCUCAGGUCCCUAAAUGACAAUGUGGAGGAACAGCCAAUGGCUGAGUAAAAAUACCUUUUCUUUUCUCUUUUUAUUUUUUCUUAGGCUGGUGAUGGAACCCAGGGCCUUAAACAUGCUAGGUAACACUCUACCACUGAGUUACAUCCCAGGCCAGGAAUACCUUCUUAAACAUCACAUGAGCAAGAAACAAAUUUGUUUUGCCAUGUCAUGGAUAAUUGGGGGUUGUUAGAGCAGCUAGCAUUACUCUAACACAAAUAAUACUCACUGACCAGUAAUUACAAUUUUUAUUUUCUUUUUUAUACACUUGUACUUUUUAUAAGAAUAAUAAAAUUAACAUUUGUAGGAUUCCUAGUUCUAGGUAUAACAAGGAAUGUCCUUAUUGGUUUCUAACUUUCAAAACUCAUAUCAUCUACAUAAAGCUGGAGGGAGCUAUAGAGGAAGGAGUAAAAAUAAUGGCAGAUUAAUGAACUGCCUCUUAACAUUUCCUUUCAUAUUAGAACCUGAUAUGAGAAAGGUAUCUAUGCAUUCCUAAGUUAUUACUGCACCAAAAGGACCAAGCAGUGCCAAAGAUUCUUGUCUAUGCCCGUUGUGACCAAUUUUGCUUUUCCUUUAGUUGAAUGGUAUUUUAGGAAUAGUAAUUAUGCAUAACCAUGGGGCAACUGAGGGCAAAGUACUCGUAAGCAUAAGACCAUAAAGAUGAUGUGCCUACAAUAGCUAAACUGUAGAACCAACCUAGAUGCCCUUCAGUAGAUGAAUGGAUUAAAAAAUGUGGCAUAUAUACACAAUGGAAUAUUACUCAGCAAAAGAAGAGAAUAAAAUCAUUGCAUUUGCAGGUAAAUGGAUGCAGUUGGAGAAGAUAAUGCUAAGUGAAGUUACCAAUCCCAAAAACCCAAAUGCUGAAUUUUUCUCUGAUAUAAGGUGAUUGACUUAUAGUCGGGUAGUAAGAGGGAGCAUGGGAGGAAUAGAGAAACUCUAGAUAGGGCAG
rnacentral:lncRNA from 1 species